rnacentral:rRNA from 1 species
GUAGGGGGCAAGCGUUGUCCGGAUUUAUUGGGCGUAAAGAGCGUGUAGGCGGCUUGGUAGGUCCGCUGUGAAAACUCGAGGCUCAACCUCGAGAUGUCGGCGGAAACCACUUGGCUAGAGUCCGGAAGAGGAGAGUGGAAUUCCCGGUGUAGCGGUGAAAUGCGCAGAUAUCGGGAAGAACACCUAUGGCGAAGGCAGCUCUCUGGGACGGUACUGACGCUGAGACGCGAAAGCGUGGGGAGCGAACAGGAUUAGAUACCCUGGUAGUCCACGCCGUAAACGAUGGGUGCUAGGUGUGGGCGGUGUCGACUCCGUCCGUGCCGAAGCUAACGCAUUAAGCACCCCGCCUGGGGAGUACGGCCGCAAGGGUA